AGGGAGCUGGUAAAGACGGGUUUCACUAGUAACACACAGAGUUUUAAUUUAAAAAAACAUACAAGAAAAAAAUCACUACUUUUUAAAACAAAACAAAUUGAAAUAUAGAGGAUCAGAUUAAAAGAAAUGCAGAUGUCGGAGCCCAGUCUACAUGUUUAGUGAUCAGGGGCUGGUGAGCAAUUAAUUUCAAAGAGAUCAACUGUGUGGCAUUGGUAAAUUCAUGGCCAUCCUUGAAGUUGGCAUAACCAGGUGCUAAAGACCUUGUUAUGAGAUAUGCAUGCUCAUUCUGACAUGUAUGCAGGGAUCAGCCACCUCAAUACACAAGAUGCCUCCACUUCUGAGAAGCCCAGGGAUGCCAGCCAACAAACAAAAGAAACCAUGGACAUCCAGCUAUACCCUGUGCUCCCCAGAUACCUCUGUGCUGGCAAGUAGUGGAGUCCCUUCAUAGUAGUAGCUUCUAGUGAGGAGUCACUGAUAGCUUGCUAUUUUCAGGAGGACAAUAACCUGCUGUGCCCUCCUCCCCUUCACAUUUCUGUUCUCCCCAAAGGCUUUCCACCUCCAAACCAAGUUAGAAAAAUGGGAGAGCACUCUGCCUUACCGUUAGAAUCCAACAGAUCUCACUGCACACGGGCAUAUCUCCACCUCUUCUCUUUCCUCCCAUAAGUACAAGAAGAUUAAGGGAACUGCUAUCCAUUUUCAGGGCAUUGUGUCCUCUCCAAGGGAAUGCUCAGCAUUCAGGCACACACAAAGGCUGCAAUUCAGCUUUCAAGAGCUGAGGGAAAGAGCUCUGUUGUAUGUGCAGAAUACAAUGCCUGGUGACUUAAUUUUAGGCUUUGCUGUUUUGCAGUUAAUUAAAAAAUAAUAGCCAAAUGUGUUGCCAAGAAAAGUAAGGGAUGUAAAAUUCAUUUAAUUCACUUAAGAACUUUAUGUUCAAAUUUUCCAAAAUUGUGCCUCUACAACAGAUCCUGAAGGUGCUUUCUGGAAUGAAACCAGAUAUUUUAAUUCACUUGUGAAAGUAAUUUCAGCCUCAGCUUCAUUCUGUGCCAAAUAAUAAUGAAUUUUAUAGUUGGAGAAUAUUUACACUGAGUAUAGAGCAAAGUGUCUUAAAGUAGACAUCCAGUUCCUCCAAGUCUCUUUUCCCUAUUGUAUUUUUAAUUUCACAUUUUGUUAGAAGAAAACUGUAAGUUGACAUGCAUCUGUGAAAUAUUCUUGCACCUUUUACUCAACUGACCCAAAGAAUAAAUCCUGGAAAGGUGGAACAUGACAUCCCAGCAGGAGAAUUCUUCAUGUUACCCUUCCCAGCCAAUCCAAUACCCAAUUUUUCACCUACAGUCUGAAGAGUGGCAACAAUGAAUCUGCUCUCCAUGAAAGGGCUGGAGAGAUAGUUUAGCCUGUACAGUGCUUGCUACACAAGCUUGAGGACCUGAGUUCGGAUCCCAGCAGUCAUAUCAAGAGCUGGCUACUUGUCACAUGCCUAUAGUUCCAGCUCCAUGGGGGCAUACACAGGGAGAUCCCUGAAGCUCACUGACCAGUCACUCAAGCAGAACUGGUGAGCUCCAGGUUCAAUGAGAUAGCCUGACCCACCAAUAAUGUGGACAGCCAUUGAAGAAAAUAUUCCAUUACAAUCUUUGGUUGUCACAUGUAGAACACAUUCGCUCACAUGCUAAUGCAGUGAGCAUGUAUACAUGAACAUACCGCAUAUUUAGUGUUUAAGUAAAGUUAUAUUAUUACUUUGGAGGGUUGAUAUUUUUUUUUCAUCAACUAUAUUUAUCUGGAGAUUCAACCAAUUUGCAGCAUGUAUCAACAGCAUGAUCUUUCUCUUACUGAGUGGGUUUGGUUUGUUUCUCUAACAGAUAAUGGUGAUAAACAUCUUUUCACUUACUACUUUGGCAUUUUCAUAUUCAUAUAGCUGAAAAAGCUCUUCAUUUUUUCUAAUUCUGGCUAUGUUGUUUAUUUAUUUUUAUUAAUAUAUAGUCUAGAUAUUAGAACUUGGCCAGAUAUUUAAUUUAUAAAUAUUUUAAGUAUUUGUUUACAUUUAUUAAUUGAAUGCAUGCUGGUAGAGGUCAGAGGGCAGCCUGAGGAACUCAGUUCUCAUCAUCAUGUUGAUCCUGAGAAUAGAACUCAGAUCAUCAGCAAAGAUGGCAUGAUGAAUCUUUACUCACUGGCCCAUUUUCUCGUAAUAUUUUCUCUUGCAUUAUGGGUCCUUUGAAGAAGGAAAUCUGUAAUUUUGACACAAAUGUUUUCAUUAAUGUUCUUUUUUGGCUUAUAUUAUGGUUUCAAAUUUAAGAACCUUUGCCUAUUCAAAAUCC
rnacentral:lncRNA from 1 species